CGCAGUAGUCAUAUGCUUGUCUCAAAGCUUAAGCCAUGCAAGUCUCAGUACAGACUAUAUUAAAGUGAAACCGCAAAAGGCUCAGUAAACCAGUUUUAAUUUACUAGAGUUAACUUGACUGUGCUUGGAUAACUGUGGUAAUUCUAGAGCUAAUACAUGCAACAAAGCCGUGACCAUUCGUGGUCAGGGCGCUUUUAUUAGACCAAGACCAAUCGCCCGGCCAGUCCGGGCGUUAAGUUGAGGAACCUAGAUAACACAGCAGAUCGCAUGGUCUUAGUACCGGCGACCUAUCUUUCAAAUGCCUGACUUAUCAACUGACGAUGGUAGACUCUGUGUCUACCAUGGCUGUUACGGGUAACGGGGAAUCAGGGUUCGAUUCCGGAGAGGGAGCCUGAGAAACGGCUACCACAUCCAAGGAAGGCAGCAGGCACGCAAAUUACCCACUCCCGGAACGGGGAGGUAGUGACAAAAAAUAACGAUACGGGACUCGAUAUGAGGCCUCGUAAUCGGAAUGAGUACACUCUAAAUCCUUUAACAAAAAUCUAUUGGAGGGCAAGUCUGGUGCCAGCAGCCGCGGUAAUUCCAGCUCCAAUAGCGUAUAUUAAAGUUGUUGCGGUUAAAAAGCUCGUAGUUGGUUCUGCGUCCCGCGCUGUCGGUACACCGUUUGUCGGUGACACUGGCAUGACGCGGGAUGUCCUGUCGGUGGCGGCGGAGACCAUAUCGCCGUCGGCUAACACCGCGGCGUGUUGGCCUUCUGUCGCCGGCUUUAUCCUACCGCGGUGCUCUUCACUGAGUGUCGAGGUAGGCCGACACGUUUACUUUGAACAAAUUAGAGUGCUUAAAGCAGGCAAAAAUCUCUGCCAGAAUAGUGGUGCAUGGAAUAAUGGAACAGGACCUUGGUUCUAUUCUGUUGGUCUCCGGAACACAAGGUAAUGAUCAAUGUGGACAGGCGGGGGCAUUCGUAUUGCGGCGUUAGAGGUGAAAUUCUUGGAUCGUCGCAAGACGCACUAGAGCGAAAGCAAUUGCCAAGUAUGUCUUAAUUGAUCAAGAACGAAAGUUAGAGGUUCGAAGGCGAUCA
rnacentral:rRNA from 1 species